AGCUCCCCAUGCAGGGACAGGACAGAAGCCUCCCAUAAGGAUGGUAAAACAUCAAACAUCUGGGCAUCCCCAGGCAACAUAUUUGCAGACGGCCAAUUCGUUCACACCAGAAGCAACUUGCAGUUUCUCAAGUCGCUCCUGACACACAAAAAAACAUGUAAAAAGAAAAGGUAAGAGCAUAGAGGUAACAGAAGGUGUGCGAUUGAACUAUAUUUAUAGCCCUUUUCUAUGCCAAGCAUAAAGCACACUCUGAAUAUACAAAUUGUGGUCAGUUUGAGAUCCUUUAUAAACUGAACCUUGUUGUAUUUUUGUGCACCACCUUGCACACAAUGGAUUCCUUGGUUGUAAUUCUUUUGCUCUUUUCUAUGCUUAAACCAGGAUCACCCUCUGAAAUACAAUUGACUCAAUCUGAUGGAGAAACAUUGAAACCUGGAGAAUCCCUCAAGCUGACUUGUGUUGUCUCUGGUGGCUAUCAAUGGCACUGGGCACGACUAUCUUUAGGAAAGCGACUGGAAUGGUUAGGGAGGGGAUACUUCAGCGGCUCCACUUGGAGAACUGAUUAUGGCUCAGCUUUCAGGAGCAGGAUCUCCAUUACCUUUGAUACCUCCAGAAAUGAAUAUUAUCUGCAGCUGAGUUCCAUGACAACUGCAGAUUCAGGCACCUAUUACUGUGGAAGUGGCACAGUGACACAGCGUACAUCCAUCUUCUUUACAAAAAGGGAGAAAUGUGAUUCUCAUAGAUAGAGUGAGGCUCAUCUCUAUGUAUCUGCUCCAGACCACAGAUCAGGGUUGCAAGCAGAUCCAAAUUGAAAUACAUUUUAAUAAUAAAUUACAUUAUAUAUCA